rnacentral:misc_RNA from 1 species
UACCUGUUGGCAUUGCAGCUGGGGGAAUCGCAAGAGUCUGAAGCCGGUGUAGUGGAGGAGGAUGAAACAGAAACAAAAGCCAUAAUCAAGAGUGAUGGUUCCCAAGUCAAAGAGUUAGGCUUAGAUGAAUUGUGAAGUUUCUGUGAUUCUAAUCAGUAGAUUUCUCUGCUCUUGCUAUUGCUCUCGUGGACGAAAGCCCAUAUAUUGUUUAGAAUAAAGCUUCCAUCGGACCAAGCUACUUACAAAGCACGAAUUAACGCCUCACAUAUUUCGUUAAUCAUACAGCCCCAAAUAUCAUGCGUUGAUGG